rnacentral:rRNA from 1 species
CAGCCGCCGCGGUAAUACGUAGGGUGCAAGCGUUAAUCGGAAUUACUGGGCGUAAAGCGUGCGCAGGCGGUUCGUUAAGACAGAUGUGAAAUCCCCGGGCUUAACCUGGGAACUGCAUUUGUGACUGGCGAGCUAGAGUAUGGCAGAGGGGGGUAGAAUUCCACGUGUAGCAGUGAAAUGCGUAGAGAUGUGGAGGAAUACCGAUGGCGAAGGCAGCCCCCUGGGCCAAUACUGACGCUCAUGCACGAAAGCGUGGGGAGCAAACAGGAUUAGAUACCCCUGUAGUCCCUGUCUCUUAUAC